GAUGAACGCUGGCGGCGUGCUUAACACAUGCAAGUCGAACGGAAAGGCCCUGCUUUUGUGGGGUGCUCGAGUGGCGAACGGGUGAGUAACACGUGAGUAACCUGCCCUUGACUUUGGGAUAACUUCAGGAAACUGGGGCUAAUACCGGAUAUGAGCUCCUGCUGCAUGGUGUGGUUUGGAAAGUUUCGGCGGUUGUGGAUGGACUCGCGGCUUAUCAGCUUGUUGGUGGGGUAGUGGCUUACCAAGGCUUUGACGGGUAGCCGGCCUGAGAGGGUGACCGGCCACAAUGGGACUGAGAUACGGCCCAGACGGCUACGGGAGGCAGCAGUGGGGAAUAUUGCGCAAUGGGCGGAAGCCUGAUGCAGCAACUCCGCGUGCGGGAUGACGGCCUUCGGGUUGUAAACCGCUUUCGCCGGUGACGAAGCGGGAGUGACGGUAAUGGGUAAAGAAGCACCGGCUAACUACGUG
rnacentral:rRNA from 1 species